GGAUAAAUAGUUUAAAUAAAACAUAACACUGAAAAUGUUAAAAAGGGUAUCGCCCUUUCUCCA
rnacentral:tRNA from 1 species